AUACGACUCUCGGCAACGGAUAUCUAGGCUCUCGCAUCGAUGAAGAACGUAGCAAAAUGCGAUACUUGGUGUGAAUUGCAGAAUCCCGUGAACCAUCGAGUUUUUGAACGCAAGUUGCGCCCGAAGCCUUAGGCUGAGGGCACGUCUGCCUGGGCGUCCCA
rnacentral:rRNA from 12 species